rnacentral:rRNA from 1 species
GAUGAACGCAGGCGGCGUGCCUAAUACAUGCAAGUCGACCUAACAGACGCGGAGCUUGCUCCUCUGACGUUAGCCUCGGCCGGGUGUUUCCCACGUGGAUAACCUACCUAUAAGACUGGGAUAACUUCGGGAAACCGGAGCUAAUACCGGAUAAUAUAUUGAACCGCAUGGUUCACUAGUGAAAGCCGGUAUUGCUGUCACUUAUCGAUGGAUCCGCGCCGCAUUAGAUAGUUGGUAAGGUAACGGCUUAACAAGGCAACGAUGCGUAGCCGACCUGAGAGAGUGAUCGGCCGCACUGGAACUGAGACACGCUCCAGGCUCCUACGGGAGGCAGCAGUAGGGAAUCUUCCGCAAUGGGCGAAAGCCUGACGGAGCAACGCCGCGUGCGUGAUGAAGGUCUUCGGAUCGUAAAACUCUGUUAUUAGGGAAGAACAAAUGUGUAAGUAACUAUGCACGUCUUGACGGUACCUAACCAGAAAGCCACGGCUAACUACGUG